rnacentral:rRNA from 1 species
GACGAACGCUGGCGGUAUGCUUAACACAUGCAAGUCGAACGAGACGAGAUGGAAGGAUCCUUCGGGUGACGGAAAUCUUAGAAAGUGGCGAACGGGUGAGUAACGCGUGGGUAACCUGCCCUAUGGAAAGGAAUAGCCUCGGGAAACUGGGAGUAAUGCCUUAUAAUAUACGAGAGUCGCAUGGCUUUUGUAUUAAACGCUCCGGUGCCAUAGGAUGGACCCGCGUCCCAUUAGCUAGUGGGUGAGAUAACAGCUCACCAAGGCGACGAUGGGUAACCGGUCUGAGAGGGCGAACGGUCACACUGGAACUGAGACACGGUCCAGACUCCUACGGGAGGCAGCAGUGGGGAAUAUUGCGCAAUGGGGGCAACCCUGACGCAGCAAUACCGCGUGAGUGAAGAAGGUUUUCGGAUCGUAAAGCUCUGUUAUUGGGGAAGAAAAAAGACGGUACCCAAGAAGAAAGUCCCGGCUAACUACGUGCCAGCCGCCGCAGUAACAC